UAUCCCUUAUUUUAUGAAGUAAUGGCUUUAAUUAGUCAUUCUAAGUGCACUGUGACUAUUUAGUUGAGGAUUUCCUCCCAAGAGUAAAAUACUAUUUUAAGACCAUUUAUACUUUCACAAAAUUGGCUAUAUGAGCAACUGGGUGGGAAACACAGUCCUAAGAUGCCUACAACUACGGCCAGGUAAAUUGAAGACAAGAAGCAUGGAAAAAGCAGCGUGUGAUCAUUAAGUGGCAAAAAUGGUUUACAGCACUGGUUCAUUGCUGGUUGAGGUAGGGCUGCAUUUUCACAGUGCUUAAGACAGGUGAGGAUCACCAGCCUACAAAUUUCUAAGGCUUUGUUACUUGCUUCUUAACCACUUUCCGUAUUUUCUGCCUCUCCCAAAGUGAACCUCAAGACAACAACAACAACAAAAAAAUAACACAUCUAAAGAAAUAGAAUAUAGUGCCCUGAAGAAUCGGUUGUAAGAACUUGUUUUUCCUGCCUGAGGGUAUGCUAGUAUAACUUUAACUGGGAAAUAUGGAGUGAGAAAUGGUAAACAAAAUUAGUAGUGCAGUAAAUGUAUAACAUAAAUCCUAGCUUCUAACUGCCUAAUAAGUUGGCGCUAAUAACAGCCAGAAACCUAGUUGUCUAUAAUAAAUGCCUAAUGCGUAUUUCACUAAUAAGUAUUAGUUUUUAAGUUUUGAGGGCCUAAUUUCUGUUUCUGACGCUCCAAACUCACCUGUCAAAUUUUUAAAUCGAUGACAUCACCUCUAUUUCCUUGUAAAUAAGUGUCCUUUAUUCCCUGCACCUGUGCACAUUAUGCCCUAAACUUCAGAAAGAACGAUCAUCUUGGUGAGUAAGAAGAGAAUAGCCAUUCCUUUUGGCACUUUUAUCAGAGAGAAAGCAAAGAAAACAGUUCCUUUGUUACAUGUGUACAUUCUUCAGCCCAGAUAAAAUUUUGAUGCACUGCUUAUAAGAGUUGGUAUCUACACAUUAUAUGCACAACUAUGGAAAUGGAAAAAAAGAAGGAAUCCAUCAUGGUGAGCAGGGAUUAAAUAUAGAUACUGCAUCUCCCUUUCACUUCACAUUGGUCUGAGAGUGCCUUACCUCCCUUCAGGUCUUUCCUCUGAAGAAUCAUCUUGUUCGUAGCCUGCACUAUAGCAAGUAGGAAUUUUAUAAAAUAAGGUCUAAACUCAGGAGAAAUGAAAAGGCAGCUCCAUUAGCUCAGUAUGAAAAGAAGAGUGAAGAACAUAUAGCAUGAACAUCAUCUCUGAGGUACAGCACAAUUUAACAAUUGGUGCUAAGGAAGAAAAUGAUGUGUUCUUUUGUUUUGCAGAAAAUCACACACAAAAGCAAAUAUGGUUGGAGGCUAAGAGGACUCCAGGAGGCCGCACAGACUGCUCUAUUCCCAUGAAGCUUUUCUUUCUGGACUUUGAUGAGUCAUAAUAUGCUCUCUGAAUUUGCUCUUCUCUUUGUAGUUUGGUAUCAAGGGGUGAAGGUGGCUUUUUCACGGCUUGAUGGCCACAUUUGCUUGUUCUGCAAGUUUGCUUUGGCUGACAUUCUAUAUAGAGGAGGCAUUGUGUGUGAAGAGUGCUAUCUAGCUAUAAUACCCUCACGAAGAAAAAUCGUAUGCAUAAAGUUAGGAAGCAGCAAGUCCCCAACAGACAACUGUUCGUGCAUUCUGGGAAACCUGGUCUACCUGCUAGUUUCUAGUGUGUUAUAUUGGCCAUAUUUCCUUCUGACAGAAACACCUCCAAGACUCACCUACUACCUAGUGGUCCUCCCUGCCUUCUCCAGGCAGAGGUCUCUGCAUCGCCUACUCUGCUCCCAUAGCAACCAAUGUGGACCUCCAUUAGAGCACUUACCACUUUGAUGUGAUUAUUUGUUAGCAUCUUCUACUAGAUGGUUAGUGCCUGGAGGGUGUAGAACAAGUUCAAUUUAUCUUUGAAACCUCAGCAGUUAGCUGGAUGCUUAGCACAUUGUGUAUUGUUCAAAAACAGAAAAAAAAAAAAAGAGACAGACUUUAUUUAAUGAAAAGAUGAGAGAUAGAUAAUAAAAUGACUUGACAGAGAAUUUAGCAGGUCUUCAUUAUUAAGAAUUAUGAUGUGAACGAACAAGAUUACUUAAAUGUUCAGUUUAAAGGACUUAGGAAAUGUUUUUAUUUUUUUAUUGGGUGGGGAGAAGGAGCCAGAGCUCUCGUAGUCAUAUAAAGAACACUGAGAAAAGGUUUUGCUUACUUUUCAAUUAGUCUGGGAGUAGCAUGACAGCAUACGUGGCAUUUGUAUAACAGAAUAGUUAGAAUUAUAAUCGCAGCUCUUUUUUAUUUCGACAUUAAAUCACAGGCCAGAAGUUGUGCAACAACCCUUUGAUACGACGUUUCAAGGAAACAGAGGCAGUAUGUAAUUCACAGGAGGGGAGUGAACAAAACAAUUUACUGUGAUGUGGGGAGAACAUUAGAAAUUCUAUCUCUUUUCUUCUUUAAUGAUGAAAAUGUAAUGAUGCAAUGACAAAAACAUAUGAGCUUUAUAUAAGUUUAUGGUAAUCAUUGACCCUAGAGUAUCUGCCACAGCUCAUACCUGAACAAUACUGAGAGAAGUGGACUUCCAAGGGCAGAAAGGGGACCCUCUGUUCUCUCAGUGGUGCAAGGAGAAUACGAAAAAAACUUGAAUAUGACUAAAUGAAGUCAGAAUUUUUAAUUCAGCUUGGUAGAAGUACAGAUUAAGAGUGGUGAUGAUUACCUUCAUCUUGGCACUCAAGACUGGACAGGAUGGGGAAGAGUGGGUAUGGAGCAGAACGGAGGCUAGUUAGGAAACUAUUGUAUCAUCAAGGGAAUAAAGGUGCUUGAAAGAUAACGACACAGAGAGAGAAGAAUUGGAGGAGAAAUACAGAACGGGAGUGGGAUUAUGAAAGAAAAGAAGACUAACCCAGACAGACCUCUACCAUGCACAGGGUGAAUUUGGAUCUGAUCUUGGUAGACAUGGGAAACUGCCAGGUAACUUAAGAAGAGAAAUAUGGCUACCUGAUUCAGGAUUUACAAAAAUCAUUCCAGGAGUGGCAGAGAAUGGAUUUAGGGAGAAUAAAGGGAGGAUACUCUUGAACACAAACAAGGAAACUGACUAAUGUUUUGCUGUCACUGUUCAACAUGGGAGCUAAUAAGGAUCCGGGCCACGUUGUGCCAUGAAGAUUGGGGAAUGGGACGCAUUUGAGGGCAUUUCCAAGAAAGGAUCAAGAAGAAUCUCAACUGUCAUGAUUUGUGGAUCCCAUCAUGCAUGUACAACAUCACUAUCUUUUUCCCUACUGCCUGGUGAGUCCUUGCUAGUUUAAUGGCUAUGGCACUAAACAAAUGAAAAGAUACCAUUGGAACAGAGCACUGACAUUUUGCUUUCCGAAAUGCCCUCCCAUUUUCAUAUGAUGUCACUU